CAGUCGCCACGGUAAUACGGAGGGUGCAAGCGUUAUCCGGAUUUAUUGGGUUUAAAGGGUCCGUAGGCGGAUCUGUAAGUCAGUGGUGAAAUCUCACAGCUUAACUGUGAAACUGCCAUUGAUACUGCAGGUCUUGAGUAAAUUUGAAGUGGCUGGAAUAAGUAGUGUAGCGGUGAAAUGCAUAGAUAUUACUUAGAACACCAAUUGCGAAGGCAGGUCACUAAGAUUUAACUGACGCUGAUGGACGAAAGCGUGGGGAGCGAACAGGAUUAGAGACCCGCGUAGUCCCUGUCUCUUAUAC
rnacentral:rRNA from 1 species